CGGUUAAGUUAGAAAGGGCGCACGGUGGAUGCCUUGGCACUAGGAGCCGAUGAAGGACGGGACGAACACCGAUAUGCUUCGGGGAGCUGUAAGCAAGCUUUGAUCCGGAGAUUUCCGAAUGGGGAAACCCACCACUCGUAAUGGAGUGGUAUCCAUAUCUGAAUACAUAGGAUAUGAGAAGGCAGACCCGGGGAACUGAAACAUCUAAGUACCCGGAGGAAGAGAAAGCAAAUGCGAUUCCCUGAGUAGCGGCGAGCGAAACGGGACCAGCCCAAACCAAGAGGCUUGCCUCUUGGGGUUGUAGGACACUCUGUACGGAGUUACAAAGGAACGAGGUAGAUGAAGAGGUCUGGAAAGGCCCGCCAUAGGAGGUAACAGCCCUGUAGUCAAAACUUCGUUCUCUCCUGAGUGGAUCCUGAGUACGGCGGAACACGUGAAAUUCCGUCGGAAUCCGGGAGGACCAUCUCCCAAGGCUAAAUACUCCCUAGUGACCGAUAGUGAACCAGUACCGUGAGGGAAAGGUGAAAAGCACCCCGGAAGGGGAGUGAAAGAGAUCCUGAAACCGUGUGCCUACAAGUAGUCAGAGCCCGUUAACGGGUGAUGGCGUGCCUUUUGUAGAAUGAACCGGCGAGUUACGAUCCCGUGCAAGGUUAAGCAGAAGAUGCGGAGCCGCAGCGAAAGCGAGUCUGAAUAGGGCGAAUUGAGUACGUGGUCGUAGACCCGAAACCAGGUGAUCUACCCAUGUCCAGGGUGAAGUUCAGGUAACACUGAAUGGAGGCCCGAACCCACGCACGUUGAAAAGUGCGGGGAUGAGGUGUGGGUAGGGGUGAAAUGCCAAUCGAACCUGGAGAUAGCUGGUUCUCUCCGAAAUAGCUUUAGGGCUAGCCUCAAGGUAAGAGUCUCGGAGGUAGAGCACUGAUUGGACUAGGGGCCCCUACCGGGUUACCGAAUUCAGUCAAACUCCGAAUGCCGAUGACUUAUCCUUGGGAGUCAGACUGCGAGUGAUAAGAUCCGUAGUCGAAAGGGAAACAGCCCAGACCGCCAGCUAAGGUCCCAAAGUAUACGUUAAGUGGAAAAGGAUGUGGAGUUGCUUAGACAACCAGGAUGUUGGCUUAGAAGCAGCCACCAUUUAAAGAGUGCGUAAUAGCUCACUGGUCGAGUGACUCUGCGCCGAAAAUGUACCGGGGCUAAACGUAUCACCGAAGCUGCGGACUGUUCUUCGAACAGUGGUAGGAGAGCGUUCUAAGGGCUGUGAAGCAAGACCGGAAGGACUUGUGGAGCGCUUAGAAGUGAGAAUGCCGGUAUGAGUAGCGAAAGAGGGGUGAGAAUCCCCUCCACCGAAUGCCUAAGGUUUCCUGAGGAAGGCUCGUCCGCUCAGGGUUAGUCGGGACCUAAGCCGAGGCUGAAAGGCGUAGGCGAUGGAUAACAGGUUGAUAUUCCUGUACCACCUCCUCACCAUUUGAGCAAUGGGGGGACGCAGGAGGAUAGGGUAAGCGCGGUAUUGGAUAUCCGCGUCCAAGCAGUUAGGCUGGGAAAUAGGCAAAUCCGUUUCCCGUGAAGGCUGAGCUGUGAUGGCGAGCGAAUUAUAGUAGCGAAGUUCCUGAUUCCACACUGCCAAGAAAAGCCUCUAGCGAGGUGAGAGGUGCCCGUACCGCAAACCGACACAGGUAGGCGAGGAGAGAAUCCUAAGGUGAUCGAGAGAACUCUCGUUAAGGAACUCGGCAAAAUGACCCCGUAACUUCGGGAGAAGGGGUGCUCUGUUAGGGUGCAAGCCCGAGAGAGCCGCAGUGAAUAGGCCCAGGCGACUGUUUAGCAAAAACACAGGUCUCUGCGAAGCCGUAAGGCGAAGUAUAGGGGCUGACGCCUGCCCGGUGCUGGAAGGUUAAGAGGAGCGCUUAGCGUAAGCGAAGGUGCGAAUUGAAGCCCCAGUAAACGGCGGCCGUAACUAUAACGGUCCUAAGGUAGCGAAAUUCCUUGUCGGGUAAGUUCCGACCCGCACGAAAGGCGCAACGAUCUGGGCACUGUCUCAACGAGAGACUCGGUGAAAUUAUAGUACCUGUGAAGAUGCAGGUUACCCGCGACAGGACGGAAAGACCCCGUGGAGCUUUACUGCAGCCUGAUAUUGAAUGUUGGUACAGCUUGUACAGGAUAGGUAGGAGCCUUGGAAACCGGAGCGCCAGCUUCGGUGGAGGCAUCGGUGGGAUACUACCCUGGCUGUAUUGACCUUCUAACCCGCCGCCCUUAUCGGGCGGGGAGACAGUGUCAGGUGGGCAGUUUGACUGGGGCGGUCGCCUCCUAAAAGGUAACGGAGGCGCCCAAAGGUUCCCUCAGAAUGGUUGGAAAUCAUUCGCAGAGUGUAAAGGCACAAGGGAGCUUGACUGCGAGACCUACAAGUCGAGCAGGGACGAAAGUCGGGCUUAGUGAUCCGGUGGUUCCGCAUGGAAGGGCCAUCGCUCAACGGAUAAAAGCUACCCCGGGGAUAACAGGCUUAUCUCCCCCAAGAGUCCACAUCGACGGGGAGGUUUGGCACCUCGAUGUCGGCUCAUCGCAUCCUGGGGCUGUAGUCGGUCCCAAGGGUUGGGCUGUUCGCCCAUUAAAGCGGUACGCGAGCUGGGUUCAGAACGUCGUGAGACAGUUCGGUCCCUAUCCGUCGCGGGCGCAGGAAAUUUGAGAGGAGCUGUCCUUAGUACGAGAGGACCGGGAUGGACGCACCGCUGGUGUACCAGUUGUUCUGCCAAGGGCAUCGCUGGGUAGCUAUGUGCGGACGGGAUAAGUGCUGAAAGCAUCUAAGCAUGAAGCCCCCCUCAAGAUGAGAUUUCCCAUUCCGCAAGGAAGUAAGAUCCCUGAAAGAUGAUCAGGUUGAUAGGUCUGAGGUGGAAGUGUGGCGACACAUGGAGCUGACAGAUACUAAUCGAUCGAGGACUUAACCAAUUU
rnacentral:rRNA from 1 species